UUUUGGCCAAAAAGAGAUAGAUGUAUAUACACAUUACACAUAUGUAUAGAUAAGAGAGAGAGAGAGAGAAAGAGACAGAGACAGAGAUCAGAGAGAAAAGAAACAAGACAAAUAUUGGGAUCGUUCGAACUAAGGUUUGUUUCUUUUGAUCAGAUUAAAAAGAAAAUACAUAAAGUUUGUGAGAGUGCCUAUUUGUCUUUUUUUUUUUUUUUUUUUUUUUUUUUUUUGAACACCAAGAGUGCCUAUUUCUCUAAAAUGUAAUUUGGUUUUUACAUGUUCAGUUUUGGUUCGAUUGAGAUCUUACAGUAAUAUGUUCAUAAUAUGUUGAGUUUAAAAUUUACAGUAACAUGAUCAUAGAGAAGCAUAAGACCAUGCGAGAUGGCUAUUAAACUUGUUUUGGCCUAUCCAUGGGCCCAUUAUCUUUUUCCCAAAAUAGAAAUGUUUUUCCUCACCCAUUUGGACCACAUCUCAUUUAAUUCCCUUUGUGUUUUCUUUUCUCUUUUUUUUUUCUUUUUUUUUUUGCUUUUGUUUAUAGAUCUUUUUAUUUUUAAGUCCAAGAUACACAACAAAAUAACAAACAUCGAUUAAGAAUCUGCUAAAAUUAAUCAAGCGUGUGUAUUCAUUUUCUUCUUUUUUUUUUUUAAUUACAUGCAACCCUAAUAUUAAUCAAAAAAUUACUACAAACUUAAUUGGACUCAAAAAUAUUAUUGUAGAAAGAGAAAAUUGUGGGGAAUGCCAUGUACAGUAUCAAAUCUUCUUUAAAAUGCCAUUUUUUAUAACUUCUUUCAAAACAUGCCAUAGAUCCAAUGUAAAACGACCAUGUUACUCUUUUCCUUUUCUUUCAUUAUCUCUCUCUUUUUCAUCUUUUUUUCUUCUUCCAACAACAAAUAGUUCUAGUAGAACAGAUCCGACGGACGAACUCCGGCGGACAAAUCCGACGGACAAACUCCGGCAGACAAAUCCGGCGGACAAACUCCGGCGGAGCAUAGCCACUUCCGGUGCCCUCUCAUCAAUGAAAUUUGUAAAACCUAAUUUUUCUCUUUUUCAAUAAUUAUCUCUUUCUUCUUCUUCAUCUUCUUUUUCUUCUUCCAAUAACAAGCUAUUCCGGCGGACCAAAUCUAGCAGACGAAUUCCGGCGGACCAGAUCCAGCAGAUGAAAUUCGGCGGACCAGAUCCAGUAGACUAAUUCUGACGGACCAGAUCCAGCGAACUAAUUCUGGCAGACCAGAUCCAUCGGACUAAUUCCGGCGGACCAGUUCCAGUUGACCAGAACUCCGGCAGACGAGUUUCGACUAGAACUCCGCCGGACGAGUUUCGACCAGAACUCCGGCGGACGAGUUCCGGCAGACCAUAGUCAGUUCUGGUGAACUAUAACAAGUUCUCGCAAACCAGAUUCGACGGACCAGUUAUGACAGACCAAAUAGACGAGUUCCGAUAGACCAGAUUUGGC
rnacentral:lncRNA from 1 species